UCAUUUAAUAUUGUAAUGCUUUAUUUAUCCACUAGAUGUCAGUCACAGAUCUGUCAAUCAAAGCAUCCCAGAAUGUUGAAGAAUCUUCACUGUGACUCAUGUUUUGAUGUCUGAUUUCACUGCACUUUGAUUUUUGAAGUGUAAUGAAGAUUUUUGCUCUAAACAAUCACUGAUAAAUAUCUAUACACAAGUCAUGAAGGUGAGCCCUGGGCUAUACGACUGGUUAAAAAUAACAUUUUUAAGUAACAUAAAUCAGUGUGAGAUUGAUUUAUCUUCUACUGCCACCAUGCGGUCAUGACUGAAACAACAACACUCAACACUCCUCUGAUCUCACACAUGAACGCGCUCCAAACAUCACGCGCGUGUCAAACACCACUGUGUGUUUAACUGUUUAUUAAAACAGAAUAUAGGAAAACUUUGUGUUUGUGAAGUGAAUUCAUUGAUUAUUGACAUAAAUUGUGAAUUUAAGACGAGAGGAGUUAAAUCGAUGUUUAAUUUAGAUUAUUAAUGCCUGAAGUCAUUCUUACGUCAUCAUUGGUGGUCCUUUACUCGUCAAACGGCUCUGUUGUUGUUGUGGGAGCACAACUGAGGAGAUUUGCUUUACAAGACGAAGAGAUAAAACAUGAAUAUGACAAACUACUUUACAAGAAAAGACGGAUUUGUAACAGUCAACAGUUCAGUUAGAGGAGGAAAAUCCCGAGCAUCUGAAACAUCUUUACCUGACUGAAAAGAAACGAUUAGAUGAAGAAGAAGAAGAGGAGAGAAAGAAGAAGAGAUGGAAAGAGAGAGCAGUGAAUGAAGAGAAGAAACUCAAACACAACACCUGACAUCUCUGCUGACCAAACUCAUUCAUGUCAUGAAGCAGAAAUCACAACACAAUCUGAAAGAUAAACCUCACAAAAUUAUGACUGUUUAUUAUCAUCUGUUUUUCAUUUGUAUUAUUUUAAAAUUGUGUUUUAUUGUUGUGUAGCUUUAUUGAAUGAACACACAGAAGAUAAUGAGAAGAUAAAGGAGGAGCUGAGAGGAUAAAGAGAGGUGAGGAGAGAAGAGACUGACCAUGAUAACAUCCAGUAGAUGUGUGAUAUAACAAAGAUAUUACAUUAUAACAACACACAGACAGAUUCAUCACACAACUACACAGAAAUACACAUGUUAUUAAGAUGAAGUUGUGUUAUUUGUUUUCUGUAGUUUCCUCAAUCCUUUAAUUUUAUGAUGAAUCUUUUAUGUCAGACACAAAUCACUGAUGUUUGAUUUAUUUUACCUGCAGGAAUUCAAGACAAAACUCCAAGAAGAGUGAACUCGAGCUCAAUCUACAGAUGAAUCUGUUACUGCAGAAGAUCCAAACUCAACACAAAUCAUUCAAUAGCAGUAAGACUCAAAACCCUCAGCUUUAAAUUGUUUAAAACAUUGUGAUGUUGAAAUGCACCUUCACACAAGAAACUGUGCUGUUUAGACGGCCGUUUAAAUAAAACUGCGUUUGUGUACAGUA